rnacentral:rRNA from 1 species
CCUACGGGAGGCAGCAGUGGGGAAUAUUGGACAAUGGGGGGAACCCUGAUCCAGCGACGCCGCGUGAGUGAAGAAGUAUUUCGGUAUGUAAAGCUCUAUCAGCAGGGAAGAAAGAAAUGACGGUACCUGACUAAGAAGCCCCGGCUAACUACGGGCCAGCAGCCGCGGUAAUACGUAGGGGGCAAGCGUUAUCCGGAUUUACUGGGUGUAAAGGGAGCGUAGACGGCGAUGCAAGUCUGAAGUGAAAGGCGGGGGCCCAACCCCCGGACUGCUUUGGAAACGGUCUGGCUUGAGUGUAGGAGCGGUAAGUGGACUUCCUAGUGUAGCGGUUCACUUCGUCGAUAUUAGGAGGCACCCCAGUGGCGCCGGCGGCUUACUGGACUGUACCUGCCGUUGCGGCUCGACAGCGUGGGGAGCAAACAGGAUUAGAUCCCCGAGUAGUC